rnacentral:rRNA from 3 species
CCUGGCGGCCGUAGCGCGGUGGUCCCACCUGACCCCAUGCCGAACUCAGAAGUGAAACGCCGUAGCGCCG